GUCUCUUUGAUUAGAUAAAGAGUUUAAUCUGCCCGGUGAUAUAAGUUUAACGGCUGCGGUAUCCUGACCGUGCGAAGGUAGCAUAAUAAUCUGUCUUAUAAUUGGAGAAUGGUAUGAAUGAUUUGACUAGGGUAAAACUGUCUCGUAUAUAUUAAUUAAAAGUUGACUAUUAAGUUAAAAGGCUUAAAUAAAAUUAAGGGACGAGAAGACCCUAUUGUGCUUGUAUAGAUGAAUUAAAUGAUGAAUAUAUUAAAAAAAUAAAGUUGUAUUAAUUACAGAAUUUUAGUUGGGGCGACUUAGGAACAAUAAAAACUUCUUAAAAUAAUAUUAAUGAUGAUUUUUGAUCCAGAGUAUUUUGAAUUAAGAGUAAGUUACCGUAGGGAUAACAGCGUUAUUUCUUUAGAGAGUUCUAAUCGAAAAAGAAGUUUGCGACCUCGAUGUUGGAUUAAGGGUAGGUGUUGGUUGCAGGUGCUUUCAAAACUUAGUCUGUUCGACUAUUAAAACCUU
rnacentral:rRNA from 1 species